rfam:Schistosoma haematobium scaffold631_11, whole genome shotgun sequence.
GAACUGCUGAGGGGUCCUACAAUAAGACGAAACGGCCGUCCAGUGU